rnacentral:misc_RNA from 1 species
UGGAUUCCCCCCUCACUUUUUGCUAGCGAGAUAUUUC